UUUCCGGUUUGAACUCAGAUCAUGUGCGGGGUAGAGGUCGAACAGACCUUGUGAAAAUAGCUUCUGCACUAUUUGUAGCCGCAAUUCAACAUCGAGGUCGCAAACAAUUAUUUUAAUAAGGGCUUAAAUAAUUAUAACGCUGUUAUCCCUAGAGUACCUUAUUCGUCUAAUUUAAUAAAGAUCAUUGUUAAUAUAAAUAGUCCUAUUUAAAUUUACCC
rnacentral:rRNA from 1 species